UACGUAGGGUGCAAGCGUUGUCCGGAAUUAUUGGGCGUAAAGAGCUCGUAGGCGGUCUGUCGCGUCUGCUGUGAAAACUCGGGGCUUAACCCCGGGCCUGCAGUGGGUACGGGCAGACUAGAGUGCGGUAGGGGAGACUGGAAUUCCUGGUGUAGCGGUGAAAUGCGCAGAUAUCAGGAGGAACACCAACGGCGAAGGCAGCUCGCUGGGACGGUACUGACACUGAGGCGCGAAAGCCAGGGGAGCGAACGGG
rnacentral:rRNA from 1 species